GAUGAACGCUGGCGGCGUGCCUAAUACAUGCAAGUCGAGCGAACAGACGAGGAGCUUGCUCCUCUGACGUUAGCGGCGGACGGGUGAGUAACACGUGGAUAACCUACCUAUAAGACUGGGAUAACUUCGGGAAACCGGAGCUAAUACCGGAUAAUAUAUUGAACCGCAUGGUUCAAUAGUGAAAGACGGUUUUGCUGUCACUUAUAGAUGGAUCCGCGCCGCAUUAGCUAGUUGGUAAGGUAACGGCUUACCAAGGCAACGAUGCGUAGCCGACCUGAGAGGUGGAUCGGCAGCCCGGGAGCGAGGCCCAGUGCCAACACCCGACGGGAGGCAGGAGUGGGGAACCUUCCGGAAGGGGCAAAGGCGUAGCGGGGAAACGGGGCGUAAUUAAGAAAGGGCUACGGUGCGUAAACCUUUUUUUUUUGGGAAAAAAAAAUUUUUAAGAACCUAGGCACUUCUUAAAGGAACCUAAUAAAAAGCCCCGGGCAAACCACGG
rnacentral:rRNA from 1 species